GAUGAACGCUGGCGGCGUGCCUAAUACAUGCAAGUCGAGCGAACAGACGAGGAGCUUGCUCCUCUGACGUUAGCGGCGGACGGGUGAGUAACACGUGGAUAACCUACCUAUAAGACUGGGAUAACUUCGGGAAACCGGAGCUAAUACCGGAUAAUAUAUUGAACCGCAUGGUUCAAUAGUGAAAGACGGUUUUGCUGUCACUUAUAGAUGGAUCCGCGCCGCAUUAGCUAGUUGGUAAGGUAACAGCUUACCAAGGCAACGAUGCGUAGCCGACCUGAGAGGGUGAUCGGCCACACUGGAACUGAGACACGGUCCAGACUCCUACGGGAGGCAGCAGUAGGAAAUCUUCCGCAAUGGGCGAGAGCCUGACGGAGCAACGCCGCGUGAGUGAUGAAGGUCUUCGGAUCGUAAAACUCUGUUAUUAGGGAAGAACAAAUGUGUAAGUAACUAUGCACGUCUUGACGGUACCUAAUCAGAAAGCCACGGCUAACUACGUG
rnacentral:rRNA from 1 species